rnacentral:rRNA from 1 species
GAUGAACGCUGGCGGCGUGCUUAACACAUGCAAGUCGAGCGGGAAGGUUUGAAAAGAUUCUUCGGAUGAAAUGUAAAAUGGAAAGCUGCGGACGGGUGAGUAACGCGUAGGCAACGUGCUCCAUACAAAGGGAUAGCAUUUGUAAACGAAUAUUAAUACCGUAUGAAACUGAAGUAGUGCAAGCUAGGUAGGUCGGAGAUUUAUCGGGUAGGGAUGGGCCUGCGUCUGAUUAGCUGGUUGGUGAGGGAACGGCUCACUAAGGGGACGAUCAGUAGCCGAACUGGGAGGGUGGACGGCCUGGGUGGAACUGAGACCCGGGACACAUUCGUGCGGGAGAAAGCAGGAGGGAAUAAUGCACAACGGAAGACUGACUGAUGAAGCAACGCUGCGUGAACGAGGACGUCCGUUGGGAAGCCACUUUCGGUUCUAGGUGAGGAAAACUGACAGUAACCUAGAAGAAAGCCCCGGCUAACUCCGUG